CUCUGGUGCUAUACAUGCGAUUGUUUCUCCAGAUGUUGAAUUAUGGAGGAAAAGUUGACCUCAUCAGAGGCACGCCAUUCGACUGAGUGACCUAUCAGCUUGUACUUAGGGUCUUUACCUAGGUAGGCUAUCACGGGUAACGGGCGGUUACCGUCGGACUGCCGGAGAAGGCGCCUGAGAGAUAGCGACUAUAUCCACGGGUAGCAGCAGGCGCGAAACUUUCCCACUCGAGACUUUCGGAGGAGGUAAUGACCAGUUCCAUUGGUGCCUUUUGGUACUGUGGAUAGGGGUACGGUUUUCCACCGUACCGAAACCUAGCAGAGGGCCAGUCUGGUGCCAGCAGCUGCGGUAAUUCCAGCUCUGCGAGUUUGCUCCCAUAUUGUUGCAGUUAAAACGCCCGUAGUCUGAAUUGGCCAGCAAUGGUCGUACGUAUUUUUACGUUCACUGUGAACAAAUCAGGACGCUUAGAGUAUGGCCACAUGAAUGACUCAGCGCAGUAUGAAGUCUUUGUUUUCUUCCGAAAACAAGCUCAAUGAGAGCCAUCGGGGGUAGAUCUAUCUCAUGACGAGUGGUGGAAUACUUUGACUCAUGAGAGAGAAGCUGAGGCGAAGGCGUCUACCUAGAGGGUUUCUGUCGAUCAAGGGCGAGAGUAGGAGUAUCCAACAGGAUUAGAGACCCUGGUAGUUCCUACCUUAAACGAUGCCGACAGGAGUUUGUCAUUUGUUAAUGGCAGAAUCUUUGGAGAAAUCAUAGUUCUUGGGCUCUGGGGGAACUACGACCGCAAGGCUGAAACUUGAAGGAAUUGACGGAAGGGCACACCAGGGGUGGAGCCUGUGGCUUAAUUUGAAUCAACACGGGGAAACUUACCAGGACCAGAUGUUUUUUAUGACUGACAGGCUUCGGGUCUUUCAGGAUAUUGUUUUUGGUGGUGCAUGGCCCGUUGGUGGUGCGUGGGUUGACCUGUCUAGCGUUGAUUCAGCUAACGAGCGAGAUUAUCGCCAAUUAUUUACUUUGCCGAAGUCC
rnacentral:ncRNA from 2 species